rnacentral:tRNA from 1 species
AGCACCUCCCUUACAAGGAGGGGGUCAGUGGUUCGAGCCCGCUAUCGCCCACCA